CCUUUUGGGAGGGGUUGGAGAGGAGGGCGGCGGAGAAGGAGAGGCGGUCGAGGUCGGGCUUGUCGAGCCACCAUGCCCGGAACUCCGCUAGGGUUUGGGCGNAAAUUUCAACCAUGAAAACAUCAAAAGUGCGCCUUUUAGCUACUGCAAAUUCUUUAUAGGUUGAUCUUUCACCACCAACUAUGUGAUUUAUAAUAACUUGAAAAGUGGGAUUACUCAAUCAUUUCUUAUCGGCUGGUAGAAAUAUAAAUAUCUCCUACCAUUGCCGGAUCAGAUAAUCAGUCAUCCAAAGUUCGCUCACCAUCAUGCGAUGCAGAUAACGAGAAGGCCCACAAAUACACACCAUUUUCUCUACACAGUAGUAAGUAGCAACAUCACAAAGCAGCAUAGUUUACACUUUCACAUUGAACUACGCAGAAUCUCGAUGCCAUGCCGCACUCAGCAAACUCGAAAGGAUUACGGCUGCGGCUUCGCAGAAAAUCGCGAAGCAAGAGAAGCUAUUUGGAGCCAAAGAAUACGAGUUUGGGAUAGAAACCAUUACUUGGAAUAUCUCCACUUUGCUAGAGAAGAUAUCUUUGAUUGCUUCCCGAGAUUUGAACGUCAUUUUGCUCUGCACGACGAGGAUCAAUCGGGUGGAGCUUUCGUUUUUGAGGCCCUUGUAGAUUUCACGAAUGGUCGACACCUUGACAGGGUCGGUUCCGCAGAAUAUGACUCUCACCUGCAACGCAACGGAGAGCCGCGUACAUCUCGCGAGUUACAAAAACUAUAAACCCUAGAAGAAGAAGUAGUAGUAGUAGUAGUAGUAGUAGUGAGGAGGAGGGGGGUUUAGGGUUUAGGGUUUUGGUUUGGUUUGUAAACCUUUUGGGAGGGGUUGGAGAGGAGGGCGGCGGAGAAGGAGAGGCGGUCGAGGUCGGGCUUGUCGAGCCACCAUGCCCGGAACUCCGCUAGGGUUUGGGCGGCGCCGCCGGGGAUGGGGGAGACGUCGUAGCGGCGGUCGGCGAGCAUCUCGAGGAGGGUGCGCCGCGCCAGGUAGUACCGGUGGCUCUCCACGCCGCCGCCCUCCUCGCCGCUCUCCACCAUCGCGCUCAAGCAGCACCCUUCUCCUUCUCCCUCUCCCCCUCCCGCCUCCGCCAUUUUCUCUCUCUUUCGAUAGAAAUUGAAAAUUUCUCGACUUUUUUUUUUUUUUUUCAGUUACCCCGCCCUCUAAUUAGAAAACUUUAUUUUAAAAAUGCUCUUUUAAGUUAUUUUAAAUAUAUUUUUAAAGUACACUGAUAGAAAUAAUUAUUAUUUUUAUAAAAUUACUAUUCUUCCUUUUCAAAUAUAUACAUUUAGUCAUCACUAAUUUUUUUUAUUUAUUAUACAAAAUUAAUAUUUUGACUUAUGCUCUACUGCCGUCAAUUUUUCUUAUUUGUCUUUAAAUAAGAGAUAAAAGAGAUAUUUUGACUUUUUUUAAUUCUAAUAAAAAUUUAAUCCGAAUUUAAUUUGAGAUUACUUAUGCUUCAUUUGGUAUUGCGGGAAGAAUACUUUACGUGCGGUGAGAAAGUACGUUGGAAAAAUAGCUUAUUUGUUUCCGUACGUAAUAUUACGUUUCAUAUAUCGUGAUGAGUCAAUUACGAUAUAUUUUUUGCGGUCCCACCAGAAAACGCAGAAGCAUAUCCUUAUAUGCUUUUUUCAAACUCCAUUUUAUCUAAUAACGUUAGAUAGGCCUCAAUACCAAACUAAACCUUAAUAGAUACUAACGGCGUGAUUAUUUUUAAAUAAUAAAAAAAUAUACUAUGGGUAUAUUUGAAACAAAAAAAAAAGUAUGAAUAUAUAUAUAUAUAUAUAUAUAUAUAUAUAUGGAUAUAUAAAUAAUUAUUCCUAGAUUUUAAUACUAAAAAAAUGAAAAACUUAAUAAGACUAGUGUAAAAAUAAAUAAAGUGGCUUUUUGGAUGGAAGGGCGUAAAGAUUUACACCACUUUCUGUGUAUCUAGACAGAAUUUACAGUAUUCUUUUCUAAAAAAAUAUAAAUUUUUUAAAUGAUAAAAAUUAUGUUUUAACUAAAUCAAUUCAAAUGCAAUAUGUUGGUUGUACUACCUGAACUGAUUAUCAUCCGGUACAUGUGCAUGCUAGCCCUCAGCAACUUUUCAGAAAACCUUUGAAAAUACUUGUAGUAGUUCUCAUUCGAAAAAUGGUCUUAUAAAGAUCUAUAUAUGAGCAUUCGANGAGGAGGGCGGCGGAGAAGGAGAGGCGGUCGAGGUCGGGCUUGUCGAGCCACCAUGCCCGGAACUCCGCUAGGGUUUGGGCGGCGCCGCCGGGGAUGGGGGAGACGUCGUAGCGGCGGUCGGCGAGCAUCUCGAGGAGGGUGCGCCGCGCCAGGUAGUACCGGUGGCUCUCCACGCCGCCGCCCUCCUCGCCGCUCUCCACCAUCGCGCUCAAGCAGCACCCUUCUCCCCCUCCCCCUCCCCCUCCCGCCUCCGCCAUUUUCUCUCUCUUUCGAU
rnacentral:lncRNA from 1 species